rnacentral:rRNA from 1 species
GUAACAAGGUUUCCGUAGGUGAACCUGCGGAAGGAUCAUUAUCGAGUUCUGACUGGGUUGUAGCUGGCCUUCCGAGGCAUGUGCACGCCCUGCUCAUCCACUCUACACCUGUGCACUUACUGUGGGUUUACGGGUCGUGAAACGGGCUCGUUUAUUCGGGCUUGUUGAGCGCACUUGUUGCCUGCGUUUAUCACAAACUCUAUAAAGUAUCAUAAUGUGUAUUGCGAUGUAACGCAUCUAUAUACAACUUUCAGCAACGGAUCUCUUGGCUCUCGCAUCGAUGAAGAACGCAGCGAAAUGCGAUAAGUAAUGUGAAUUGCAGAAUUCAGUGAAUCAUCGAAUCUUUGAACGCACCUUGCGCUCCUUGGUAUUCCGAGGAGCAUGCCUGUUUGAGUGUCAUGAAAUCUUCAAUCUACAAACUUCUUAUGGAGUUUGUAGGCUUGGACUUGGAGGCUUGUCGGUCCCUUUACAGGUCGGCUCCUCUUAAAUGCAUUAGCUUGGUUCCUUGCGGAUCGGCUUGUCGGUGUGAUAAUGUCUACGCCGCGACCGUGAAGCGUGUUUGGGCGAGCUUCUAACCGUCUCGUUACAGAGACAACUUUUAUGACCUCUGACCUCAAAUCAGGUAGGACUACCCGCUGAACUUA